rnacentral:rRNA from 1 species
UACAGAGGUCCCAAGCGUUGUUCGGAUUCACUGGGCGUAAAGGGUGCGUAGGUGGUUGUGCAAGUCUGAUGUGAAAUCUCCGGGCUCAACCCGGAAAUGGCAUUGGAAACUGCAUGGCUAGAGGGUUGGAGGGGGGACUGGAAUACUUGGUGUAGCAGUGAAAUGCGUAGAUAUCAAGUGGAACACCAGUGGCGAAGGCGAGUCCCUGGACAACACCUGACACUGAGGCACGAAAGCUAAGGGAGCAAACAGG